UCCGGAAUUACUGGGCGUAAAGCGCGCGUAGGCGGUUUGGUCAGUUGGAUGUGAAAGCCCCGGGCUUAACCUGGGAACUGCAUUCAAUACUGCCAGACUAGAGUACGAGAGAGGGGGGUAGAAUUUCUAGUGUAGCGGUGAAAUGCGUAGAUAUGUGGAGGAACACCAGUGGCGAAGGCGACUCUCUGGUCGGUUUCUGACGCUGAGGUGCGAAAGCGUGGGUAGCAAACAGGAUUAGAUACCCUGGUAGUCCACGCCGUAAACGAUGAGUGCUAGGUGUUAGGGGGGCUUCCACCCCUUAGUGCUGAAGUUAACGCAUUAAGCACUCCGCCUGGGGAGUACGGCCGCAAGGCUGAAACUCAAAGGAAUUGACGGGGGCCCGCACAAGCGGUGGAGCAUGCGGUUUAAUUCGAAGCAACGCGCAGAACCUUACCAGUCCUUGACAUAGGGAGUUUGGUUUCCAGAGAUGGAUUCCUUCAGUUCGGCUGGCUCCCACACAGGUGCUGCAUGGCU
rnacentral:rRNA from 1 species